rnacentral:lncRNA from 1 species
UUAUUUCCCCUAUGGAUCAAUAAGUUAUAUCUACAAUCUCACAUGUGAAGUUACAGUAGAAACUAUUCAUACAGGAGGUACCCCAAAUGUAUGCUAUACCAUGAGCUGUCAAAGCCGAGUAGUGACUUAAGGUAUUGCAACUUGUAACCAUCAUUUGUCAACAAAAAAAAAAAAUGUAUGCUCUACCAUGAGCUGUCAAAGCCGAGUAGUGACUUAAGGUAUUGCAACUUGUAACCAUCAUUUGUCAACAAAAAAAGCCUGGAAAUUCCUUUCCCAGAGUCUUCUAUUACAUUAAUUCAGGGGGCAAGUAUUUUUAGCUUAACACUUUCACGUAUAGGAACAAUCGCAUUCUUUCAUGCUUGCUCAUCCAAUUUCAGAAUACUUCCCAGAGAAUCAGAUAUGUGUCACCAAUAAGAUUCUACUUUUACACUCGGAAUUAAAACUUAGCAACAGCCCAAGGAUCACAACAUAGCAGGAUCAUCCUCAUCUUCUGACAAGGAUCUAUGGGUAUAGAGUAAAGAUAAUCGUAUAGUAGUGUCGAAUAUUACAAUGGAAUUAAAUCAGAUAAAAAUCCAACCAAUCAAAUUUGACUCCCGUGACGUCAGGCAAUGUGCAAUGCACAAAGAACCUUAAUAUUUUUUAUAAGUACAAGUACCUUAAUCUCAGAACACAAAGACCCCAAACACUGUUUCAGAAGCAUGUUAUCCUUUACUUUAAAGCUACCCAACAUGAUAAAUUUGUCUUCAUUCAUGCCCUACAUGACCUGCUCAGCAGCAUCGUUCUGAUUAUCCAAUCAAGGAUAUGUUCACGGCAACAAAGUUUGGUAACAUUGACGUUGAGAAGUGAUCCCGUCAGAAAACCUACUAGAAAAUGAAUAGAUUUACCUGUGUGUUUCAUAAUCAUUUCUAACAUUCACACCCAAAUUCAUGUAACAUACUGAGAGAUGUGCAAGCACGAAUAGACCCAAACAUGACAGGACUGUGAAUAAAUAUAUUAUCAGAAGUCCAAAAUAUUAAAAAAUCAUGUUAAGGAAAAAAAGAGUAGAGUCU